UACGGAGGGUGCAAACGUUGCUCGGAAUCAUUGGGCGUAAAGCGCACGUAGGCGGCCUGUUAAGUCGGGUGUGAAAGCCCUGGGCUCAACCCAGGAAGUGCACUCGAAACUGGCGGGCUUGAAUAUGGAAGAGGGUCGCGGAAUUCCCGGUGUAGAGGUGAAAUUCGUAGAUAUCGGGAGGAACACCAGUGGCGAAGGCGGCGACCUGGGCCAAUAUUGACGCUGAGGUGCGAAGGCUAGGGUAGCAAACAGG
rnacentral:rRNA from 1 species